CACCUUUUUGCCUUCACAUAUCAAGAUAGUAUUGCUCAAAUGCCAUCAAGGGCAACACCCCCUGAGAUACACUUAUGACAACAAAGGGGGGCAACUAGAGAUGCAAACAACAUAUGGAGAUCACAUGAAGGUCUUAUGAUAGCUCCUCUACCAUUACUAAACAUCUUGAUUCCUGAUGCGCACAGUUUUGAUCACUGUGCAAGGGGGGAAAUGUUGAGAAAGAUAAAAAGACAGGGAUUUUGGUCCCCAUACUUACAGACAAGGGUAGAUGAAUUUUCAAAUGAAUGUGAAAUAAUGUCAGAAAAGGAACAGCAACCCCAAUAGGCUCUAUUCCAGAAGGACUUUUCAAGCAUCAAGUGAUGGAUUGUUACAGCCAAGAUGGAGACCAUUUGCUAGAGACGAGGCAGCAACAGGACUAGAAUUAAUAUUUGUAUAGAUAACGCCAAAUAAGACUAUGGAAUGGAAUAAUUACAUAUAUUACAAUCAGCAGAGAUUUAUUAAUUACACGGAUGAAGCACUCCAAGCUCUAGAAGAACAACUAAAAGCCACAAGCAAAAUGACCUGGCAGAAUAGACAAGCUCUGAAUUGGCUCAUGGCAGACACAGGGGGUAUGUGCAUAAUGUUUGAAACUGACUGUUGUACCUUUAUUCCUAAGCGGGCACAGCCCCGGAUGGAUCCUUUACUAGGGCCUAGAAGAAGAUAAAAGAAUUAAGACCGGAAGUUGCUACCAACGCGUGGGAGAGACGGGAGCUUUGGGUAUUGGCUUGACUCAAUAUUUACACCCUGGAUAGACUGGCUCAUUCAGGUGGGAAUAUUAUUAGCAAUAUUAGUUGGUGUCUUCUUUCUGUUGUUUUGUUGUGUUGUGCCUUUCCUCAGAUCAAUGCUGGCCAGUGCAGCUGCCAAACAAAUGAUCAAUGUAUCAGUGAGACCAUCAGGAGUUGAUAUUGGAUGUGUCAACGCAGAGAUUCACCCAAGUGCCCCAGACCUGGAUGAGCUGGACGAGUUUCUGUAAAGUAACUAACUGAGACCAUAUGGAAAGAUGUAGAUAGAGGAACUAUACGUGAAGCGCGGUCACCGAUUGUCAAAGAAGGCAAGGGCAGACUCAACUGGUGGUUUAAAAACCCGCUGUCUGCUCCAACACCAGAUAGCGCUCCAAGGCAACUUGAGCGCCUCUGGCAACGAUGGAGCAACCCAGAUAGCACUCCAGGCCACCGGAAGCGCCUGCGAAGUUCCUCUGGCACCGUGGGACAAGAUAAAGAUUCAAAAAUGCAGGGAAACAUAAAGAAACAUGCCCCUUAAGCUGAUGAUGUAAAAAGGAGGGUAGGAUCUUUUACUCCACUCUAGUCAAUGGAGGGUGGAGAUGUUUGGUCCUGCUUCUCCUCCAGGGUGCACCUAUGUGAUGUGGGUUAGAUUGGUAAAAGGUGAAUGGUCUAUAUUGACCAUAUUGGUAAAAGGAGAGAAGACCGACUCAUAAAGAUGCAUCCUGGGCACAAUUAUUGAGUGUGGGACUAGAGAAAGUCCCAAAGGGGGGCUAUGUUGGAGAAUUCUGCUUGUCCUAUGUACAUGUGAAAGAAGAGUGCUGUACAUGUGAAAGAAGCAUGCUGUGCAUGUGAAAGAAGCGUGCAUGUGAUGUAAUGCCAAGCAGAAAAAACUAGGGUCUUAGGGCACAUGAGGACAGGGACGAGAGAGUGGAAAAGUACCCAAAAAACACUUGUAGCACAGAUGCAGGUGUUGGGAGGCACUGGGAGAGAAACAGAUUGUAUACAAUGUAACAAUGUGCCACUGGGAAAAGCGUACUGAAACAAGGAGCCCAUUGUGUAAAAAGAAAUGAUACGCAUGCGCACAGAAGUUUGCCCCAAUUAAAAAUAAAAUGAUAAUGCAGGUGUUUUUAAUCUGGGAGGAGUAAUAAGGAGGAGCAAGGAGAGAAAAGAUAACAAUUUGAGCGUUAAUUGGCUACCACAAGGUAUAAGAAAUGAGUGCAGACCAUUGUAAGAUCAGAUGCCUGGCCGACAUCUCACUUUGUUGAACUGCUCAAUAAAGUUAUUCUUCUGAGACCUGAAA